CCCGAAGCAGUGCCAUCAGUUUUUGACUUUCCGGCACAUUUGAUGCCACCAAAUAAACAGCCACGACGACAUGUUGUUAGGAUUUUGAGUGACAACGAUGCUUCUCCAUUUGAGCGUUCUGUCCUGGAAUCCGUGCUCGAUUUGCCCACUGCAGAAGCUACUGAUUGCGUGGAGAAUGUUGUCAAUGAGAAUUCUUCUGUGGAAAGCAUGUCCCAUUUAUCCAAUGCAGAAGCUGCGAAUUGUGUCGAAAACAGUGCAGUUGGUUCUUAAGUAAUUGAUUGUGGUAUACAGUCGAAAGUAGAAAUGGAAGACAAGGCGACCGAAACUUGCAAUUUUUUCUCAGACAUUGUGCACGAAUUGAAACGUAAACUGAAGUGGGCCCGUGAAAAACUUCGAAUAAGAGAGAAGAAAGUGUUUUCCAAGGAUGACAUCAUAAGUUCAUUGAAGGAGAAGGGGCAUCUUCCUGAGAAGUUACAUAACUUCCUCAAUCAUCAGAAAGGAACACAAGUGGAAUUAGUGUGCAAUUUAGUGAACAACUCUCUCUCGUCAAAGGGUAAUAGGUACACAACAAAUGUGAAAAUGUUUGCGAUGACUGUGUACUUUUAUUCACCAGAAGCAUAUGAAUACCUGCAAAAAUUAAUGCCUCUGCCCCAUAAAUCAUUAAUUUCCAAAUGGGUGGCAAGUGUAGACUGUGAACCUGGCUUCUUAAAAGAUGUUUUUAAGUACAUUGAU